GAUUCCGUAGGUGAACCUGCGGAUAUGCAUAUCAAUCAGCGGAGGAAGCUUCCGUUGUGAACAGGCGGUAUAACAUAUCAAAAAGCGGAACUUUCUUCCGCGGAUGCCUUGGAUCUGGCAUCUAUGAAGAAGGCGGCAAAAUGCGAUAAGUAAUGUGAAUUGCAGAAUUCAGUGAAUCAUCGAAUCUUUGAACGCACAUUGCGCCCGCUGGUAUUCCGGCGGGCAUGCCUGUUCGAGCGUCAUUUCAACCCUCAAGCCCUCGGGUUUGGUGUUGGGGAUCGGCUCUGCCUUCUGGCGGUGCCGCCCCCGAAAUACAUUGGCGGUCUCGCUGCAGCCUCCAUUGCGUAGUAGCUAACACCUCGCAACUGGAACGCGGCGCGGCCAUGCCGUAAAACCCCAACUUCUGAAUGUUGACCUCGGAUCAGGUAGGAAUACCCGCUGAACUUAAG
rnacentral:rRNA from 1 species